AGCGGCGGAUGGGUGAGUAACACGUGGGGAACCUGCCCCUAAGUCUGGGAUACCAUUUGGAAACAGGUGCUAAUGCCGGAUAAUAAAGCAGAUCGCAUGAUCAGCUUUUGAAAGGCGGCGUAAGCUGUCGCUAAGGGAUGGCCCCGCGGUGCAUUAGCUAGUUGGUAAGGUAACGGCUUACCAAGGCGACGAUGCAUAGCCGAGUUGAGAGACUGAUCGGCCACAUUGGGACUGAGACACGGCCCAAACUCCUACGGGAGGCAGCAGUAGGGAAUCUUCCACAAUGGACGCAAGUCUGAUGGAGCAACGCCGCGUGAGUGAAGAAGGUUUUCGGAUCGUAAAGCUCUGUUGUUGGUGAAGAAGGAUAGAGGUAGUAACUGGCCUUUAUUUGACGGUAAUCAACCAGAAAGUCACGGCUAACUACGUGCCAGCAGCCGCGGUAAUACGUAGGUGGCAAGCGUUGUCCGGAUUUAUUGGGCGUAAAGCGAGCGCAGGCGGAAAAAUAAGUCUAAUGUGAAAGCCCUCGGCUUAACCGAGGAACUGCAUCGGAAACUGUUUUUCUUGAGUGCAGAAGAGGAGAGUGGAACUCCAUGUGUAGCGGUGGAAUGCGUAGAUAUAUGGAAGAACACCAGUGGCGAAAGGCGGCUCUCUGGUCUGCAACUGACGCUGAGGCUCGAAAGCAUGGGUAGCGAACAGGAUUAGAUACCCUGGGUAGUCCAUGCCGUAAACGAUGAGUGCUAAGUGU
rnacentral:rRNA from 1 species